GAAAAUCUCUGGUAUUGGACAAAUGGCUCUCAUUGGAUGUAACAGAUGUAGUGUGGUUCAUGAUUAUCUACUUUUUAUUUACUUUCACUGAGAGGUUCUUGUUAAUAAUUGUAUACAUUGGUGAAAAUCAUGCAAACAACUACAAUGUAAACCAUGUUCUAAACAGCAUGGCAAUAUAUUUGCUUCUUUUAAAGUUGACCUUAUGGGCACUGUGACAAUGUAAGCAGCUUCUGUCUGAACAGUUUAUGAUGGUAUAAACUAAGUUUAACAAUAUGAUGUAAAAUACAUUUUAGAAAGUAUUAUGAAGAUAUCCACAUUCCACAGUAUGAAGUGAACCACGUUUUAGACAGCACGAUGACAUAAAAGUUUUGUAGGGAAUUAAAAGUAAUCACGUCAUUUGUUUUAGUCACAUACUGAAGAUGAGCCACAUCCUGAUGAUGAAGCAGAAGAAUUGCAGAAAUUUAUGGAAAAUGUUCAGAUGGAAAGUAGAAAAAGAAAAUCAAGGACAGGAAGAAGCCCUCUUCUGGUGACAGAUCAACAUGUAUACACAUAUGGUGAAAUUCGACGACAACUUUCAUUUGGGGACAGUCCUCUACCUGAGUCAGCAUUAGACUUAGCAUUGCCAAGUGACAGUGAUAAUAAUUUUGAUCAUCAUAGCUCUGAAGAAGAGCUAGAAGUAAUUAACUGUGCUGAAAAUGUCAUCACUUGGAAUAGCACAUACCCUGAAAAAAAGAAAAUGGUCACAAGCAAAUUGUUUAAGUAGUGGAGAUAUCUCUGCAUUCUCGGAUGAUGAGGUGCAUGAUGUGUUGUGUGUAUCAACUCCUGUGGAGUUUUGUGCUUCCCCUCCUACUAAUGUGCACAAACCUAGUAGAUCUCUCUCAUCCCCACCAAAAGUCUUUAACUUAGCCUUUGCCAACAUUCCCUCUUUUGAAGUCUGUUCUGUUUCCCCUCGUAAAAGACACAGACAGAUGUAUGGUAAUGGUGGAAGUGGGGAUGGAAGUAUCCAACGGCCAUGCUUGGAUUUUGAAAAAAUGCAGCAGAUUAGAGUGUGACGUGCGACUUUUCCCGGUAAAUUUGCCACUUGAUGUUCAUGGACUGGGAGAGUGCAUCAGUAUACUUGGUGGACCUGUUUUCCAGUAUGUUCUGUUCACUUUGUAUAUGAUAAACUUAUUAAACUGACAUAACAUAUUUGCUAGUUUACAUGCUAUAAUGUUAAAGUAAGGACAAAUUAGAAAACGGUGACGUUACUAGACUUAUGAUGACGAUGUACAACGGAAGUGGCCGCGUUUAUCGUCAAGUGUGAUGAUGUCAUUAAUCAACAACAAUGGUGUCAGAUGAACUUUCAACGGCCGCUCACAUGCACAAAUAUAUAAUCCCGAUUCUUUAUUAUAUUUUUGAGUGUGUUUUCUAUUUUUUAAAUUCUAAGUAAGCAUCGAUGAUCUCAUGCUGAUACACAUCUGUUCAUGAAAUAAUGUAAAAAAAUAAUGGCUGGAGACGGCUUGAAUGGGUAAUGAAGAAAAACUU